GACUGCUCCUGAGCUAGUAGAGCUUUAAGAGCCGCGGUAAUUUUGACCGUGCAAAGGUAGCAUAAUAAUUAGUUUUUUAAUUGGAAACUUGUAUGAAUGGUUGGACAAGAGAAAAGCUGUCUCUUUUUUAAAAAUUGAAAUUAACUUUUAAGUGAAAAGGCUUAAAUUAAUUAAAUGGACGAUAAGACCCUAUAAAGCUUUAUAAAAGAAUAAGAUCUUAUAAAAUUUAUUUAUAAAUAAAAGUUUUUAUUUUUUUAUUAUGUUGGGGCGACACAGAUAUAAAAUAUAAGUAACUGUCAGAAAAAAAAACAAUUAUUUUUGAUAUUUUAUGGUCCUUUUUUAAGAUUAAAAGAAAAAGUUACUUUAGGGAUAACAGCGUUAUUCUUUUUAAGAGUUCUUAUCAAAAAAAGAGUUUACGACCUCGAUGUUUAAUCAUAAAAUCUUUACAGUGCAGCAGCUGUAAGAAGAAAGUCUGUUCGACUUUUAAAAUUGUACGUGAUUUGAGUUCAAACCGGUGUAAGCCAGGUUG
rnacentral:rRNA from 1 species